GAGCCUGAGACCUACUGGUGGAUGGCAGGAGACAACUAUGAAGGUUGAGAGAACUAAAGUUAGGGAUAGAAAAGCUUGCUUGACUCACUCCUCCACCCCUCCCUUGCACACUUAGCAGCUCUGAGUUCUAGAAUUUGAUGCAAAUCCUACCAGACAGCUUGGUACCAGUGGCCCAAUUCUCAGAAGAAAAAGAGAAAAAAAAAACUGAUGAAGAACUGCAAGAUUUCUACAUUUGGAAGCACCUGGAAGCCCUGAACUCUUCUUUAAUGUAUUGUGGAUCAUCCUCGUUUCCUUGGGGCCAUUAGGCUGUUUGCUGUCGUCUUUGACAAAGGCUGAUUUCAACGUUCUCUCCACAACACUCUCUUUUUACACGUAAUUCAUAUCACCAUCUCAGUUCUCUGACUGCAAAUCACUGAGGAAAAGCAUGUGAUAAACUAACUGUACCUGAUUGAGUUACCUCAGAGCAGAGCCUGGGGCAGGAAUCCAACAGUAGGUGCCUAAUUUGGAACAAGAGACUGGGGAACUAGAAGACAUCUAGGAAAGAGCCAGAAACUCAAGUCAGUCACUGCUGCGGGCCACCUGACUUUAGCUGCAUGAGAAAACUCUGAAUAAAUGGUAUGAACAAAUA